rnacentral:rRNA from 1 species
UACGUAGGGGGCAAGCGUUGUUCGGAAUUACUGGGCGUAAAGCGCGUGUAGGCGGUCUGGCAAGUCAGAUGUGAAAGCCCCGGGCUCAACUUGGGAACUGCAUUUGAUACUGCCAAGCUAGAGUACAGAAGAGGUGACUGGAAUUCCCAGUGUAGCGGUGAAAUGCGUAGAUAUUGGGAGGAACACCAGAUGCGAAGGCGGUCACUGGGCUGAUGACUGGACGCUAAAGCGCGAAAGCCAGGGGAGCGAACGGG